rnacentral:rRNA from 1 species
CAGCCUGAGAAACGGCUACCACAUCCACGGAAGGCAGCAGGUGCGCAAAUUACUCAAUGCUGACCCAGCGAAGUAGUGACCAGCCAUAACGAUGUGCAGCUCUACGAGUUGCAAUUCGGAAUGAGAACAAUGUAAAAACUUAUCGAUCAUCAAGUGGAGGGCAAGCCUGGUGC